CCAACACUGGCUGUGCUGAAAAGCAAGAAGAAUGUUCUCCUUGAAGGAAAAUUAUUUCCUCAAGUUUCAUGAACUGGUGUUGAAAAGAACAUGCUGCAACCAAACCAUCAGUUGCAGAGAAUGUAUCAAUUCAGAUUGUCAAAGGAAGUUCUUUCCCUGGCACUCCUUACACAAUGAGUCUGGUGUAAAAGAAAAUAUAGUAACAAUAUUAUAUAUGUAUUCCUACAAUAAAGACAUUUAUUACAACAAAGGAUUUGUAAAAGAGUGGAAGAGAGAGAAAUCAGUAAAACUGAUGAACGCAUCUAAAAAGUCUCAGGCUAUAUGCAAUGGUCCUGCAUCCAGAGACCUAGAGACCUCCACCUCUGGAAAAAGAGCAGGGCGAAGUACUAAGGUACCAUUUUCUAAAUAAAAAUGCUAGUUGA
rnacentral:lncRNA from 1 species